AUACGGAGGGUGCAAGCGUUACUGGGAAUCACUGGGCGUAAAGCGCGCGCAGGCGGCCUGAUAAGUUGGAUGUGAAAGCCUACGGCUCAACCGUAGAACUGCAUCCAAAACUGUCAGGCUAGAGUGUGGGAGAGGAAGAUGGAAUUAGUUGUGUAGGGGUAAAAUCCGUAGAGAUAACUAGGAAUACCAAAAGCGAAGGCAAUCUUCUGGAACACUACUGACGCUGAGGCGCGAAGGCGUGGGGAGCAAACAGGAUUAGAAACCCCAGUAGUCC
rnacentral:rRNA from 1 species